rnacentral:rRNA from 1 species
AUUGAACGCUGGCGGCAUGCCUUACACAUGCAAGUCGAACGGCAGCACGGGUGCUUGCACCUGGUGGCGAGUGGCGAACGGGUGAGUAAUACAUCGGAACGUACCUUAUCGUGGGGGAUAACGCAGCGAAAGCUGUGCUAAUACCGCAUACACCCUGAGGGGGAAAGCGGGGGAUCGCAAGACCUCGCGCGAUUAGAGCGGCCGAUGCCUGAUAGCUAGUUGGUGGGGUAAAAGCCCACCAAGGCGACGAUCAGUAGCUGGUCUGAGAGGACGAUAAGCCACACUGGGACUGAGACACGGCCCAGACUCCUACGGGAGGCAGCAGUGGGGAAUUUUGGACAAUGGGGGCAACCCUGAUCCAGCAAUGCCGCGUGAGUGAAGAAGGCAUUCGGGUUGUAAAGCUCUUUUGUCAGGGAAGAAACACCGGCUCUAACACAGUCCGGGAAUGACGGUACCUGAAGAAUAAGCACCGGCUAACUACGUGCCAGCAGCCGCCGUAA